GAUGAAGAACGCAGCGAAAUGCGAUAAGUACUGUGAAUUGCAGAAUUCAGUGAAUCAUCGAAUCUUUGAACGCACAUUGCGCCCGCCAGUAUUCUGGCGGGCAUGCCUGUCCGAGCGUCAUUUCAACCCUCGAACCCCUCCGGGGGGUCGGCGUUGGGGAUCGGCCCCUCACCGGGCCGCCCCCGAAAUCCAGUGGCGGUCUCGCCGCAGCCUCUCCUGCGCAGUAGUUUGCACACUCGCACCGGGAGCGCGGCGCGGCCACAGCCGUAAAACACCCCAAACUCUGAAAUGUUGACCUCGGAUCAGGUAGGAAUACCCGCUGAACUUAAGCAUAUCAAUAAGCGGAGGA
rnacentral:misc_RNA from 1 species